UCCUGGGUUGCUUAGUUAAUAGAGCUCUCCAAUAGAAAUGGAGAGGUCCCUGGUUCGAUACCAGGACCAGGCG
rnacentral:tRNA from 1 species